rnacentral:rRNA from 1 species
GACGAACGCUGGCGGCGUGCCUAAUACAUGCAAGUCGAACGAACUCUGGUAUUGAUUGGUGCUUGCAUCAUGAUUUACAUUUGAGUGAGUGGCGAACUGGUGAGUAACACGUGGGAAACCUGCCCAGAAGCGGGGGAUAACACCUGGAAACAGAUGCUAAUACCGCAUAACAACUUGGACCGCAUGGUCCGAGNUUGAAAGAUGGCUUCGGCUAUCACUUNUGGAUGGUCCCGCGGCGUAUUAGCUAGAUGGUGNGGUAACGGCUCACCAUGGCAAUGAUACGUAGCCGACCUGAGAGGGUAAUCGGCCACAUUGGGACUGAGACACGGCCCAAACUCCUACGGGAGGCAGCAGUAGGGAAUCUUCCACAAUGGACGAAAGUCUGAUGGAGCAACGCCGCGUGAGUGAAGAAGGGUUUCGGCUCGUAAAACUCUGUUGUUAAAGAAGAACAUAUCUGAGAGUAACUGUUCAGGUAUUGACGGUAUUUAACCAGAAAGCCACGGCUAACUACGUGCCAGCAGCCGCGGUAAUACGUAGGUGGCAAGCGUUGUCCGGAUUUAUUGGGCGUAAAGCGAGCGCAGGCGGUUUUUUAAGUCUGAUGUGAAAGCCUUCGGCUCAACCGAAGAAGUGCAUCGGAAACUGGGAAACUUGAGUGCAGAAGAGGACAGUGGAACUCCAUGUGUAGCGGUGAAAUGCGUAGAUAUAUGGAAGAACACCAGUGGCGAAGGCGGCUGUCUGGUCUGUAACUGACGCUGAGGCUCGAAAGUAUGGGUAGCAAACAGGAUUAGAUACCCUGGUAGUCCAUACCGUAAACGAUGAAUGCUAAGUGUUGGAGGGUUUCCGCCCUUCAGUGCUGCAGCUAACGCAUUAAGCAUUCCGCCUGGGGAGUACGGCCGCAAGGCUGAAACUCAAAGGAAUUGACGGGGGCCCGCACAAGCGGUGGAGCAUGUGGUUUAAUUCGAAGCUACGCGAAGAACCUUACCAGGUCUUGACAUACUAUGCAAAUCUAAGAGAUUAGACGUUCCCUUCGGGGACAUGGAUACAGGUGGUGCAUGGUUGUCGUCAGCUCGUGUCGUGAGAUGUUGGGUUAAGUCCCGCAACGAGCGCAACCCUUAUUAUCAGUUGCCAGCAUUAAGUUGGGCACUCUGGUGAGACUGCCGGUGACAAACCGGAGGAAGGUGGGGAUGACGUCAAAUCAUCAUGCCCCUUAUGACCUGGGCUACACACGUGCUACAAUGGAUGGUACAACGAGUUGCGAACUCGCGAGAGUAAGCUAAUCUCUUAAAGCCAUUCUCAGUUCGGAUUGUAGGCUGCAACUCGCCUACAUGAAGUCGGAAUCGCUAGUAAUCGCGGAUCAGCAUGCCGCGGUGAAUACGUUCCCGGGCCUUGUACACACCGCCCGUCACACCAUGAGAGUUUGUAACACCCAAAGUCGGUGGGGUAACCUUUUAGGAACCAGCCGCCUAAGGUGGGACAGAUGAUUAGGGUGAAG